GGGUACGAUCAUAGCAGCACUAAUGCACCGGAUCCCAUCAGAACUUCGCAGUUAAGCGUGCUUGGGCGAGAGUAGUACUAGGUUGGGUGACCUUCUGGAUGUCCUGGUGUUGCACCCC
rnacentral:rRNA from 1 species